CACAUGUGACGAGUUUGAUCCUGCUCAGAACGAACGCUGGCGGCAGGCCUAACACAUGCAAGUCGAGCGCACCCUUCGGGGCGAGCGGCGGACGGGUUAGUAACGCGUGGGAACGUACCCUUUUCUAUGGAAUAGCCUCGGGAAACUGAGAGUAAUACCAUAUAAGCCCUUCGGGGAAAGAUUUAUCGGGAAGGAUCGGCCCGCGUUAGAUUAGAUAGUUGGUGGGGUAAUGGCCUACCAAGUCUACGAUCUAUAGCUGGUUUUAGAGGAUGAUCAGCAACACUGGGACUGAGACACGGCCCAGACUCCUACGGGAGGCAGCAGUGGGGAAUCUUAGACAAUGGGCGCAAGCCUGAUCUAGCCAUGCCGCGUGUGUGAUGAAGGGUCUUAGGAUCGUAGAGCACUUUCGCCAGGGAUGAUAAUGACAGUACCUGGUAAAGAACCCCGGCUAACUCCGUG
rnacentral:rRNA from 1 species